rnacentral:rRNA from 1 species
GUAUAUUAAAGUUGUUGCGGUUAAAAAGCUCGUAGUUGGAUUUCUGUUGAGGACGUCCGGUCCGCACUAUGUGCGUGUAUCUGGUUCGGCCUUGGCAUCCUCCUGGGGAACGGUGCUGCGCUUGAUUGCGUGGUCCGGUAUUCAGGACUUUUACUUUGAGGAAAUUAGAGUGUUUACGGCAGGCAAUCGCCUUGAAUACAUUAGCAUGGAAUAAUAAUAUAGGACCUUGGUUCUAUUUUGUUGGUUUCUAGAACUAAGGUAAUGAUUAAUAGGGAUAAUUGGGGGCAUUCGUAUUAACACGUCAGAGGUGAAAUUCUUGGAUUGUGUUACGACGAACUACUGCGAAAGCAUUUGCCAAGGAUGUUUUCAUUGAUAAGAACGAAAGUGCGGGGAUCGAAGACGAUUAGAUACCGUCGUAGUCUGCACCAUAAACUAUGCCAACUAGAGAUUGGAGGUCGUUCUUUUUAUGACUCCUUCAGCACCUUAUGAGAAAUCAAAGUCUUUGGGUUCCGGGGGGAGUAUGGUCGCAAGGCUGAAACUUAAAGG